rnacentral:rRNA from 1 species
GACGAACGCUGGCGGCGUGCUUAACACAUGCAAGUCGAACGGAAAGGCCCUGCUUUUGUGGGGUGCUCGAGUGGCGAACGGGUGAGUAACACGUGAGUAACCUGCCCUUGACUUGGGGAUAACUUCAGGAAACUGGUGCUAAUACCGGAUAGGAGCUCCUGCUGCAUGGUGGGGGUUGGAAAGUUUCGGCGGUUGGGGAUGGACUCGCGGCUUAUCAGCUUGUUGGUGGGGUAGUGGCUUACCAAGGCUUUGACGGGUAGCCGGCCUGAGAGGGUGACCGGCCACAUUGGGACUGAGAUACGGCCCAGACUCCUACGGGAGGCAGCAGUCGGGAAUAUUGCACAAUGGGCGGAAGCCUGAUGCAGCAACGCCGCGUGCGGGAUGACGGCCUUCGGGUUGUAAACCGCAUUCGCCUGUGACGAAGCGUGAGUGACGGUAAUGGGUAAAGAAGCACCGGCUAACUACGUG